rnacentral:rRNA from 1 species
GACAGAGGGUGCAAACGUUGCUCGGAAUUACUGGGCGUAAAGCGCGUGUAGGCUGACUCGUGUGUCGGGCGUGAAAUCCCUGGGCUCAACCCAGGAACUGCACUCGAAACUGCGAGUCUAGAGUGGUGGAGAGGGUAGUGGAAUUCCUGGUGUAGAGGUGAAAUUCGUAGAUAUUCGGAAGAACACCAGUGGCGAAGGCGACUUACUGGACGAUUGUUGACGCUGAGGUGCGAAAGCGUGGGGAGCAAACAGG